rnacentral:rRNA from 1 species
GGUUACCUUGUUACGACUUCACCCCAGUCAUGAAACACAAAGUGGUAAUCGUCCUCCCGAAGGUUAGACUAACUACUUCUUUUGCAUCCCACUCCCAUGGUGUGACGGGCGGUGUGUACAAGGCCCGGGAACGUAUUCACCGCAGUAUUCUGACCUGCGAUUACUAGCGAUUCCGACUUCAUGGAGUCGAGUUGCAGACUCCAAUCCGGACUACGACAUUCUUUAAGGGGUCCGCUCCACAUCACUGUCUCGCUUCCCUCUGUAAAUGCCAUUGUAGCACGUGUGUACCCUACACCUUAGGGGCAUGAUGA